GACAGAGGGUGCAAACGUUGUUCGGAUUUACUGGGCGUAAAGCGCGUGUAGGCGGCUUGGUAAGUCGGAUGUGAAAGCCCACGGCUCAACCGUGGAAGCGCAUCCGAAACUGCUUCGCUCGAGUCUCGGAGAGGAAGGUGGAAUGCUUGGUGUAGAGGUGAAAUUCGUAGAUAUCAAGCAGAACACCUGCGGCGAAGGCGGCCUUCUGGACGAUGACUGACGCUGAGACGCGAAAGCGUGGGGAGCAAACAGG
rnacentral:rRNA from 1 species